AAAAAGCUAAAACCCACUUCUCCAAUUUCACUCAAUUUUGUAGAUUUUCAAUAAUCUUUCAGUUUUUUAUCCCCAAAUCUAUCUGGGUAUAUGAAAAAGUAAAUAAAAAUCGAAUCUUUUUCAGCUGUGUUCUCCUCCAUCGCAUCAGAUAAACAAUCUCUGUAACGAAUUUUCACGGAUUCAAUGAACAAGACUGAUCAUGCACCUGAAACAACAACACUUAAAAUCAAGGCGUUCUUUGAAUCAGCUCCACCACUAAAAGAUGCUACUGAAAUAGAGACAAAAUUGAAGGAAUUUGUUGACCGGAAUUCAUCAUCAGGGAAUGGAAAAGCAAAUAGGGUGGUGUGUGUGACUUCUGGCGGUACAACUGUUCCUUUGGAGAAACGAUGUGUUCGCUAUAUUGAUAACUUUAGCUCUGGUCAUAGAGGAUCUGCUUCCACAGAGUACUUUUUGAAGGCUGGUUAUUCUGUCAUCUUUCUGUAUCGUAGGGGAACCUGCCAGCCAUUUUGCAGAUCACUACCUGACGAUCCAUUGCUCGAGUGUUUUACUUCAACUGAUGAUUUAAGUAUUCAAGUGGACCCAUCGCAUGCUGAAGUGGUGAAGAGAGCCAUUGCUGAAAAUCGUUCGGCAGUUAAUGGCGGUUUCCUGUUGAAAUUACCGUUUACAACAAUUUUCGAGUAUUUACAGAUUCUUCGGAUGAUAGCUGUCUCUUUAAGGAGCCUUGGUCCUAGUGCUAUGUUCUAUCUUGCAGCUGCAGUUUCUGAUUUCUAUGUACCGUGGGAGAGCAUGACGAUGCAUAAGAUCCAGUCAGGAUCUGGUCCUUUGGACAUGCGGCUUGCUCAAGUACCGAAGAUGCUUUAUGUUCUUAGAAAUGAGUGGGCACCAGUGGCUUUCUGCAUAUCUUUCAAGCUGGAGACAGAUACAGAUAUCCUUUUAGGGAAGGCUGAUAUGGCCCUCAA
rnacentral:misc_RNA from 1 species